rnacentral:rRNA from 1 species
UACGUAGGGUGCAAGCGUUGUCCGGAAUUAUUGGGCGUAAAGCGUGCGCAGGCGGUUUGUUAAGUCUGCUGUGAAAUCCCCGAGCUCAACUUGGGAAUUGCAGUGGAUACUGGCAGGCUGGAGUAUGGUAGAGGAAGGUGGAAUUCCCGGUGUAGCAGUGAAAUGCGUAGAGAUCGGGAGGAACACCAGUGGCGAAGGCGGCCUUCUGGACCAAUACUGACGCUCAUGCACGAAAGCGUGGGGAGCAAACAGG